AUUGAACGCUGGCGGCAGGCUUAACACAUGCAAGUCGAACGAGUGGCGGACGGGUGAGUAAUGCUUGGGCAUCUGGCUUAUGGAGGGGGAUAACGACGGGAAACUGUCGCUAAUACCGCGUACCAUAGGAUGAGCCCACGUGGGAUGAGGGAGUUGGUGGGGUAAUGGCCGACCAGGCGGACGAUCUCUAGCUGGUCUGAGGGGAGGAACAGCAACAUGGGAACUGAGACACGGCCAGAAUUCCUAGGGAAGGCAGAAGUGGGGAAUAUGGGGCAUGGGGGGCAACCGGACGCAGCCAUGCCGCGUGAAUGAAGAAGGCCUUCGGGUGGUAAAGUUCGUUCGUUGACGAGGCGUUAAUCACAGAAGAAGCAACGGCUAACUCCGUGCCAGCAGCCGCGGUAAUUC
rnacentral:rRNA from 1 species